GUACGCGUUUUGACCACAGCCCUGUUUGGCGAAUGCACACAGGCUGGGAAUAACGGCUGCACGAGAAAUGGCGGUGCUGAGAUCCUCCCACCAGUCAUGUCCGGUAAGGUCAAAAGUGCUCACACAAUGAGGUUCGGUACACUGGAGGUCCGCGCCAAGAUCCCCAAGGGUGAUUGGUUAUGGCCAGCUAUCUGGAUGUUACCAAUAAAUGACCAUUAUGGAGGCUGGCCUAGAUCUGGUGAAAUUGACAUUAUGGAGUCCACAGG
rnacentral:sRNA from 1 species